rnacentral:rRNA from 1 species
AACGAACGCUGGCGGCAUGCCUAACACAUGCAAGUCGAACGGGAUCCUGGCUUCGGUCAGGUGAGAGUGGCGGACGGGUGAGUAACGCGUGGGAACCUGCCCAGUGGUGGGGGAUAACUGCGGGAAACUGCAGCUAAUACCGCAUGAGCCCGAGAGGGGAAAGAUUUAUCGCCAUUGGAGGGGCCCGCGUUCGAUUAGGUAGUUGGUGGGGUAAUGGCCUACCAAGCCGACGAUCGAUAGCUGGUCUGAGAGGAUGAUCAGCCACACUGGGACUGAGAUACGGCCCAGACUCCUACGGGAGGCAGCAGUGGGGAAUGUUGGACAAUGGGGGCAACCCUGAUCCAGCAAUGCCGCGUGAGUGAUGAAGGCCUUCGGGUUGUAAAGCUCUUUUGCCAGGGACGAUGAUGACGGUACCUGGAGAAUAAGCCCCGGCUAACUUCGUGCCAGCCGCCGCCGUAAAAC